CAAGAGCGUAUAUUAAUGUUACGGCGGUUGAAAACUCGUAGUUUGAUUUCGAUCUAGGAAGGUUAACUCGCUGGAAGGUUGUACGUUGAUUUUCCUCAGACUUCGUCAGAAGCUCGUGCUGCACGUAACUGUGUGGUACGAUGUUCUGACCUUUUACCUUGAGGGAAGUUUUCAGGCAGGCUGCCCAGCUUGAAUACAUGAGCAUGGAAUAAUGAAAUGGAUCCCAGUUCGAUUCCGUUGGUUCUAGAGAGCUGAGGUGAUGAUCAACAGGAACAGGCGAAGGUAUUCGUACCAGAGAGUGAGGAGUGAAAUCCGAUGAUCUUCUAAAGACGAUCCGAGGAGAAAACAUUUGUCAAGGAUGUUUUCAUUGA
rnacentral:rRNA from 1 species